UCCAUUAUCAUAGUAUAGUAUAACAUAAUAUUUAUUAUUUAACAUAUUUACACAUUUUACCUUCAAGUUGAUCUGUUGAAUUUACAAUAAAGCAUAGUAUUAUGAGCAAAUAUACACUUACUGCACAACUAAAUAACUUUAAACAUAAUUUCCUUUUGCUGCCUAAGACAUUUGCACAGUGCAUGCAGAUAUUCUCACCUUCAAGUCGAUUUGUUAGGACCAGAAUUAACAAUCCAAUCAUUCCCUUCAUAACUGCAAUAAUUUUGAUUAUGGCUAUUUUCUGAAGGUCAGGGUGUCUGUGAAUCUGCUUCUCAGAUCUCUUGUCCUCACUAAGACCUUUCAGGAGGUUGUUAGCUGUAUAUAAUCAGAAACAGGAAACAGAGACAGUGGUGUUUGUGUGUCUGCAUCCCUGACACACUGUAAGGUGUGUACUCUUUCUCUCCCCCGCUCUGUCACUGUCACUGAAUUCACACAUACACUACCGCUGAAUCACCAUUUUACUUUUCUUUUAAAAUACACUAAAAAUAUUUUUUAUAGUGACCCCCAAAAUAUAAACAUCAAGUCUUUUAUCAAUGUGUUAUCAUUUUUUGUACUUUUGCAGUUUUUACUAUAUGGGAGUGUGUAAGUGAAAAAA